UUUUGUUUUGUUUGUUUGUUUGCUUGACUUUUUUGUUUUGUUUUGUUUUGUUUUUUAAAAUAAGGAUGCAGAUUCUUGCAGAACUCCAUAGUAGAGACAGGCCAAGCACUAGAAGGGUCUGAAUGGGGAGCUGCAGGGUGGUGCCAAGUGCCUUCCUCUGUCCUCUACUAGCUGCAGGAACUCUGGCUUUGUCUGCACUGUCCCUGGGUGGCACAUUCACACAUCAGUGCUCCCCAAAACAUUGGUAGAAGACAAAGGGUUUGCACUGUGACACUGGUGCCUUUGGGGAAUCUGCACAUCCUGCAACCCUUAGGCUGACGUUAUAGGAAGAUUAAGACAUAGCUUUAGUUCAGUCAUCCUCCAGGAGCGGGAAUCUCAGUAUCUAUUAUGUUGCAGUCUAUAUUAUAUAAGAUAUUGUCUUACUGUACAGAUAAGUAUUACUAACCCUGCAAUUAUUAAGAACAAGUAGAUAAUUGUCACUAACUGUCCCUUCACACACUCUUUUGGGAGCUGGCUGAACUGUAUUUGAGAAGAACUGUUUCCAGGAAAGAGGACAGAUACAUAUGGGUCGCUGAGAUUUUUCUUUGUAAAAGCCAUAUUUUGCACCUUUUGUCAAGUGUAGGUCUGGGCUAUAAUAGAAAAAUACGUUUGUUACAGAUGGAAGUUUUCCAGCAUAAAGUACAGUCUCAGCAACCAGUGGGAUUUAAAGAGUUCACUUUCUUGAUGGCCAACAAGAAGGGUGACUAUUUCCUAAAAAGCAGGGCUGUAGGGCCACACUUUGGGAGAGUUCAAGGACUGUGCUAGUACCCGGGGAUGGAUGACCUCAGCUUAGAUGGCGAUACUUUGUGGCAGCUUUGAAGGAAUGUUGUAUCUUCCAAGACAUUCAAGAAGUGAAACUUUGUAUCAGGACAGAGGAUGAGAAUUCUCUACAGAAAGCACCAUUUCAAUUGCUUAGUGGCCCAAUGACAUCCCUGCAAAAGAGGAAGUUUCUGAGGACAGACAUGCCAGCUUUUCAUUUGUGGCUACUUUCCCCUGUGAACUAAUCAAAUGACAUGCGCUCAGCUAGUCAUCGCCACAGGAGAAAAGUCAUGUUCAGAUGACAGAAUAACUAUCCAGUGUUGCCUCAUUAGCGGGCCAAGGGUUAUGCUCCUGAUGCCAAGAGGCCUGGCUAUACUAGUUCAGCCUUUCAGAAGAGACUGUCAGUUAAGCUUCUGAGAGGAAUAUUUGCAGUUUGUUUCAAAACUAGGUAGCCCCAAAAUAUAUGAUAUUGUGCAAGGAUAGCUAAUGAUAUGUAGAGCUAGGCCCUGUGCAUCUGGGGGGAGCCAUGUUUUUUGCCAGCCAGCCCAAACUCUGGGGCUCUCUGAGCUUUGUACCCCACAGUCUCAGUGGUGACUUUCUAGCAGGGAAAGCCAUGAACUCACCAACUGAGCAUCUAGAUCCACAUGAACAUUACCAGCAGCCACUGAGACCAAGAUGAAGAUUCAUCUGGUAGUAAAAAGGCACCCUUAUGUACCCAGGCUAAAAGAGCAUUUAAACUAGACCAGUGUGCGGCUCAGUGCUACUGAUCUUGCUUCAAAUGCAUGAGGGCCCAGAUCUAAUGCAUAGCCCCAAAGAACAAAAAGAAAGAAGAAAACCAAUAAUGCAAAUCUUUUUAUGUUAAAGAGAGGAGGGUUGAACAUGAAGUUCCAGAACUCUGGUUGCAGUGGGGAUCUAUCUACAGUCUGACACGGACAAUACAGGGUUGAAAAUCUAGCCACCAACUAACACUGACAGUGAUGGAGAUCUAGCCACUAUCCAAUAAUAACUGUCAUGGGCAUCUAACUACUAUUCUGCAUUGACACUAAUGGGAAUCUAGCUACUGUCUGACACUGGCAGGGGUGGGUAUCUAGCCACUCUCAGACACUGACAAUACAAGGGUGCAUAUCUAGCCAUCAUCCAAUACUAUCAGUGAUGAGGAUCUAAUGACUUCCUUCUCCUUUAUAGGUUCCCGGGAACUAGCUUAAGUACCAUCUAUGUGGUGUCUGAAUAAGGUACUCUUGGUGGACCAAGCGGCACAUUUCAUCAUCUGAGCCUGAAGGAGCUGAAGGAGGGAGCGACACAACUCUCGAAGAACAAAUCACCAAACGCUUUUCUUUAAACUGCCAUUUGUUUCAAGAGAGACACAGAUGGAGAGGCACAUUAGGAGGACUACGAUAUAGCAAGGAGGAAAAGCUGAGGAGACACUGGCUGGGCUUGAGGCACAAGUGACUUGGGAGUGUGUGGUGUGGAGACGGGUAAUGAAAACACUCCUCUCUAGUGAGGUCCUCAGGCUGCUGUCAACCAUUCCUGGGGCAUAGCUAUGGCCCAUGACUCUGUGCUUUCCAAAUGAUAAUGUGGUGUGUGUGAGUGUGCAAAACUGUGGGCAUGUAUGGGUGUGAGUGUGUGUAAGUAUUGUGUAUGUGAGAAUGUGUGUAUGUGAGUCUGUUUGUAUGUAUGUAUGAAUGUGUGUAUAUGAAUGUACGUGCUUAUAUGUGUGGGAUGUAUAUACAUGUAUGGUAUAUGUAUAUGCAUGCAUGUGAGUGUGCUUAUGUUUAUGUGUUAAUGAAUUUGUAUGCAUGCAUGUGUGUGCAUUCAUUAAUGCAUAUUCGUGUGUAUACAUACAUGUUUGUGUGUGUGAAAAUGCAUAUGUGCAUUAUUUUAUGAGUGUGUGUAUAUACAUGUAUGUGUGUGAGUGUCUAUGCAUGUGUAUGCAUGUGUGUAUGGGUGAAUAUGUGUAUGUGCAUUAUGGUAUAUGAGUAUGUGUGUAUACAUGUAUGUGUGUGAGUGUCUAUGCAUGUGUAUGCAUGUGUGUAUGUGUGACUGCAUGUGCAUAUUCCUGUGUGUGCAUGUGUGUAUGGUGUGUGUGUAUGUAUGUGAGUACAUGUAUAUAUACUUUGUGUGUGUGUGUGUAAGUAUGUGUUGGUGCACACACAUCCUGGUAACACUAAUGGAAGAUAUUAAGAUCUUCAGUAAGAACAGUGAUUGUGUCUCAUUUUCCAGAAAUAAUAAAAUUCAGCCAGAUCUUUAAAUUUGAAGCUGAUUUGGAGAAGGAACUGUCAGCUUCUUGUUUCCCAAGCAGCAGACUACAUUCCAGAGCUUCUGAAAGAGUCAGCUCUCAGUCCUGUAAGGCACAAGAGGAGCAGGAUAAUACUGCAGCUGUGUGGCAGCUUGUCUCCAAGUGGAAAGGAUUAUUACCACCGCCUUUUGACGGGAUGAAUCACCCAGGACGGCUUGAAUGGCUAAAGGGGGUAGACACGUUGGUAUUGGGAUCACAUCUCAGCUUCAAAGGACGGAGCCUGGAGUUGAAUUCACCAUGCCAGGAGAACAAGUGGAUACUUGAGUUCAACUGCAUUUAUAUUUCUGGAGAAAUCAGGAGCAAACUCAGGCUGAUGGAUGUGUGAUUUCCCUGAAGAUGUGUACCAGUUAAUCUUCAGAGCUCAGCUAAUGAAGAUCCCAGAUCAGCUAAUGAUCACCCAGUGCUUGAUUCACAGAUGUCUAUAUCCUACAGUGUCACAUGCAAGAUUUAUUUUAUGUCGCUGUCUCCAGACACACCAGAAGAGGGCAUCAAAUCCCAUUACAGAUGGCUGUGAGUCACCAUGGGGUUGCUGGGAAUUGAACUCAGGACUUGUGUAAGAGCAGUCAGUGCUCAACGCUGAGUCAUCUCUCUAGCCUCACCAUAGAGUGUUUUUUAAAAAGAAAUUAUGCAAGAUCCAAAUAAAUGUAUGAACAUUCCAUGUUCAUGGAUCAGAGGACUUGAUAUUGUUAAAAUGUAACACUACCCACAUUGUCUUAAAAUUUCAACAAGAUCCCUACCAAAAUGUGAUUACUUAAAAUUUGAUAAGCUGAUUAAAAUGUUCACAUGGGAACCAUAAGUGAUCUGGAAGAGAAAAAAAACUAGUUGGAAAAGAAGAAUAAAAUAUGAAAACUU